UCAGGCUGAUACUAAAAUGCUCAGGACCU
rnacentral:piRNA from 1 species